AUGUUACUAAGCGGAGGAGAAGAAAUUAACUAAGAUUGCCUUAGUAAGGGCGACUGAACCGGCAAAAGCUCGAAAUGGGAAUCGGGGAUUCAAAGAAUCUUCGAAUUGUAAUCAAGUCUGCCUAAAUACGAGAAAUGGUUUAAUUACGUCGAAACGUAAGCCAGAGAGGGUGAAAGUCCCGUGUAGCUAUUUCUCGAGUAAGGUAGAAAUGAGAAGAGUCGGGUUGCUUGGAACUGCAGCCCUAAGUGGGAGAUAUGAUUCUUCCAAAGCUAAAUAUGGAUGGGAGACCGAUAGCGCACAAGUA
rnacentral:rRNA from 1 species